rnacentral:misc_RNA from 1 species
AAGUCGUAACAAGGUUUCCGUAGGUGAACCUGCGGAAGGAUCAUUAUCAACGUUAUCCACGCACUAACCAUUACCAAAAAAAUGUGAACUGUCUCGGAUCCUCUGAGAGAAAGCGGUUGGGAAGUGCGAUUUUCCUGCCAUUUGAUGUGUUUGGAAAAACGCUGUCUUUUCUCAGAGUGUAUUUCUUUUUUCUAACUACACUUCCUACAACUAUUUUUUUUAACCAAUUGAACCAAAACAUACAAUUACUUCUUUUCUGUGAACUGAAUUGUCAUUCCUUUUUCUGCCUUUUGCUUCGCUUUAUUGUCGAAUGCAAAAGGAAUGAAGAGGAUGAUUCAAUUUACGAAACAAAUAAGAACAACUCUUAGCAACGGAUAUCUUGGUUCUC